rnacentral:rRNA from 1 species
GAUGAACGCUGGCGGCGUGCCUAAUACAUGCAAGUCGAGCGAACAGACGAGGAGCUUGCUCCUCUGACGUUAGCGGCGGACGGGUGAGUAACACGUGGAUAACCUACCUAUAAGACUGGGAUAACUUCGGGAAACCGGAGCUAGUACCGGAUAAUAUAUUGAACCGCAUGGUUCAAUAGUGAAAGACGGUUUUGCUGUCACUUAUAGAUGGAUCCGCGCCGCAUUAGCUAGUUGGUAAGGUAACGGCUUACCAAGGCAACGAUGCGUAGCCGACCUAAGAGGGUGAUCGGCCACACUGGAACUGAGACACGGUCCAGUCUCCUACGGGAGGCAGCAGUAGGGAAUCUUCCGCAAUGGGCGAAAGCUUGACGGAGCAACGCCGCGUGAGUGAUGAAGGUCUUCGGAUCGUAAAACUCUGUUAUUAGGGAAGAACAAAUGUGUAAGUAACUAUGCACGUCUUGACGGUACCUAAUCAGAAAGCCACGGCUAACUACGUG